rnacentral:rRNA from 1 species
AGAGUUUGAUCCUGGCUCAGGACGAACGCUGGCGGCGUGCCUAAUACAUGCAAGUCGAGCGGACUUGAUGGAGAGCUUGCUCUCCUGAGAGUUAGCGGCGGACGGGUGAGUAACACGUAGGCAACCUACCCUCAAGACUGGGAUAACUACCGGAAACGGUAGCUAAUACCAGAUAGGUCACUUUCUCGCAUGAGAGAGUG